UGCUGAGCGAUCCCCAGCACCCAAGGACCUGGAGCCCCAGGUCGCAGCCUCAGGACCCGGAGGAUGUGCCCAGCACCUCCAGGAGACGCGCGGACGAGGUCGUCGCCCCGCGGCUCGCCAAUCAGGCGUAGUGUGGAGACAGGGCGGGGAGUACGCUGGCGGCCGUGUAGACCCGCAGCACGACACGGUGGACUCAGCCCGGGAGGGAGUCUAGCUGCGGGCCAUGUCCAGCGUGGAUUCCAGAACCCGCCGCCUAGAGUCGCGGGGCGUCCUGAGGGAGAACUGGCCCCUAGUGGGAGUUGGGCGCGUCCCUGGAACCUCCCCUCCUCGAGGGCUGGGAGUUAGCGGGAAGAAGAAGAGGCCGCGGGCACCAUGAUUCAGACCCGGAAACUACGCCUCCAGGCAUGGCUAGGAGAAAUGGGCUUCGGAGACCAUGGCCACCCCUCUCCCUGCCUAGGAGCACGCCUGCCCCAGCACCCGGGCCUGAACGCAGCGAGAGCUCCAGAGCCUGCGAGUCCCAGAGUUCCAGUUCCACAUCACAGUCACGCAAAUGUAAGAGAAUGGAGAAUGCAGUCCUUUCUCAGCUGGGCACAAAGUAAUGCUGAGUGAAACAGAAGUUGUUAUUGUGGAAGAGCUUCCAGUCGAUUUUGAAAAAUUCAGAGCAUGGGCAAGACAUAGCAGAAAAAGAAAUUGUGAUUGAUUGGAGUAUUUAUUUUCCUGGCUUCCUCCAUGUGGAGUUGCUAAAGACCGGCUGCAUCUUUCAGCUGCAAUCACAGCUCCUGCCUGGCAGCCUUCUCGGUCUCCAGGACCCCGUAUCUGACCAGUUUCCAACUCAUCUUCACUUGGGAGUUGGCUGUGAAGAGACAGGCAAGUCUCUUCAUCAAGCAGGAGGAAAACAUACAGCGGGAAGGAAAUAUGAAACGACCUCAUUUCUAGUUUAACCCUUUGGAUCUCCUUUGUACCACGUCUCCUUGG
rnacentral:lncRNA from 10 species